GACGAACGCUGGCGGCGUGCCUAAUACAUGCAAGUCGAACGCAGUGGGGACGGGUGAGUAACACGUGGGUAACCUCCCAUCAGAGGGGAUAACACUUGGAAACAGGUGCUAAACCGAUACUGAUGGAUGAACCCGCGGUGCAUUAGCUAGUUGGUGAGGUAACGGCUCACCAAGGCCACGAUGCAUAGCCGACCUGAGAGGGGGAUCGGCCACACUGGGACUGAGACACGGCCCAGACCCCUACGGUAGGCAGCAGUAGGGAAUCGUCGGCAAUGGGCUAAAGGCCGACCGAGCAACGCCGCGGGGUUGAAGAAGGUUCUCGGAUCGUAAAACUCUGCUGUUAGUGAAGCGGUAUCUAACCAGAAAGCCACGGCUAACCACGCGACAGCAGCCGCGGUAAUAC
rnacentral:rRNA from 1 species